rnacentral:rRNA from 1 species
GUGAGUCAUCGAGUCUUUGAACACACAUUGCGCUCUCUAGUAUUCUGGAGAGCAUGCUUGUUUGAGUAUCAGUAAACACCUCAAUCCCCUAAAUCUUGAAAAAGAAAGGGAAUUGGACUUGAGCUAUCCCAACAAACGUAAAACUUUGGCGGGUCGCUUGAAAUGCAGGUGCAGCUGGAACUACUCUUCUGAGCUAUAAGCAUAUCUAUUUAGUCCCGUCAAACGGAUUAUUAUUUUUUUUGCUGCAGCUAACAUAAAGGAAAAGUAGAUCCGCUAUGCUGACUGAUGCAGGAAUUAGCAGUGAACGUCUCUUUGAGGCGCUUACUGUGAAACUCGAUCUCAAAUCAAGUAAGACUACCCGCUGAACUUAAGCAUAUCAAUAAGCGGAGG